CUUAAAUCUGGUAACUGUUAGGGUGUCAGGUGUGGAUGCGUACAAUAUUUCAAUCUAGUUCUGCACCAUUACUACCUUGAUGUUGAAGAUAUGUCAUGGACAAGAAUUUCAAUGCACUGCAAGGGGAAAUAUAUUCUACAUCACAAAGGCUGUUGUCGAGACCACCAAAACAACAAAAGGUGCUAAUGCAUGCAAUAAGAGUGCUCGAAGUGGUUCGCUGAGUUGGAUGGAUGC